rnacentral:rRNA from 1 species
UACGUAAGGGGCAAGCGUUGUCCGGAUUUAUUGGGCGUAAAGAGCGUGUAGGCGGUUAGGUAGGUCCGUUGUGAAAACUCGAGGCUCAACCUCGAGACGCCGAUGGAAACCAUCUGACUAGAGUCCGGAAGAGGAGAGUGGAAUUCCUGGUGUAGCGGUGAAAUGCGCAGAUAUCAGGAGGAACACCGAUGGCGAAGGCAGCUCGCUGGGACGGUACUGACGCUGAGGCGCGAAAGCGUGGGGAGCAAACAGG